UUCUUCCUUUCUUCCAAAUUUGUCAAUGUUGUUUGCAUCGUUUUCUUCUUCCUCUCUUCCAAUUAUGUCACUGUCGUUCUUCUUCCUCUCUUCCAAUUAUGUCAAUGUCGUCACAAAUUUCAGAAAAAGUUUCUGAUUCCUUUAUUCAAGGUUUCGAAAUUUCACUUAAGUGUUGGUUAUGAAUCAUCCACGGUUGAUGAAGCUUUGUUAUUUGGUAAAUCUUUGGGCUCUAAAACUGUUAAUGCCAAUUUCAUUAAAGGGGGUAACUGAUUUGUAUCAACAGGCCUGCGCGAUGUUCGAUGAAAAUACUCAGUGACUGAUACAAACCUACCUUGCACAAUGACUGGCAUAUUUAUGCUUGGAAGAAAAGCUAAGAUCAGUAUAUAUGCUUGGAUUUUUGACAGGGCAUAUUAGUAAUGUCGAUAUGUUUAUGUAUUAGAAUUAGUGGGAUAUAACAAGAAAAGCUAAGAUCCAUGGAUUUUGUUUGUUGGAAUUCCUAAAGCUCUAGAGGAGUUCAAAGGUAUGGAGCUUUCAAAUUCAUUCGUAUGGCAUGUUGAAGUUUCCUUGGUUUGUGGAAGACAAUCAAACAACAAUCUUUGAGAUACACAUCCUAGCAAAGGAGUGGCUAGGGCUUAACCUGUGAUUAUGUCAGAGAAGAACGGUCGUGCAUGAGAUUUCAAAGUACCUCUGCCAAGGAUAUAUCAACUUCCAGUUGCAUUAAUUUAAGAACACGUCUUCUUGAGAAUGUGAUUAUGCAUUACCGAUAUUCACAUUCAACUUUACCCAGAUGAAUGGCCAAAUACUGUGGAGAACUUCACCACUCACUGGCAUAAUGGUCAUGAAAAUGAUAAUCUAAUCUUCCACCGGGUCAUCAAUGGCUUAAUAAUACAAAAUGUAGAUCCUCUAGGAGAAAGAACUGUUGAGCAGUCUAUUUGGGGUAGGGAUUUUAUGGAUGAGUUCCAAGAAAGCAACACCGUGGCUGGAUGAUAAGCAUGCUGUAGUCCAUAGAUGUAUCAAGGGAAUGGACGUAGUAGUACAUGUAUUUUUAUUUUUCUAUUUUUACUCUUCUCUUAGAACUCUUAUCACGUGUCUGCAAUCAUGCAUAUGAAGUCUAACUGCUGCCUACUACAUACAGGGAGAAGGUGAAGACAGACAAUGAAGACGAACCAUACCAAGAUGUUAAAUUACUGAAUGUGAAUAUUGCCAAGUUUUGUAUUUAUUCUUGAAUGGGAUUUUGUUAUAUGACCCACCGUUGCCAGUUUGUGGAUCACAGAUUCACAGUAGGCAUCUUACAGUAUUAGUUUUUACUUUUUACUAUUGCAAAAGAAUAUUGGGCUUCGAUAUCGAUGGGCCUCAAGA